GAUGAACGCUGGCGGCGUGCUUAACACAUGCAAGUCGAACGUGAGGGUGUAGCAGUAUGCCUGAAAGUGGCGAACGGGUGAGUAACACGUAGGUGACCUGCCUUGGAGUGGGGGAUAACGGCUGGAAACGGCUGCUAAUACCGCAUAGGGUGAGUGGGAUGGGAAUCCUGCUCGUACAAAUUGAGGUGCACCAAGAGGGGCCUGCGUCCGAUUAGCUAGUUGGUGGGGUAAGAGCCUACCAAGGCGAUGAUCGGUAGCUGGUCUGAGAGGACGAUCAGCCACACGGGAACUGAGAAACGGUCCCGACUCCUACGGGGGGCAGCAGUGAGGAAUAUUGGGCAAUGGGCGGAAGCCUGACCCAGCAACGCCGCGUGGAGGAUGAAGGCCUUCGGGUCGUAAACUCCUUUUACGGGUGAAGAGUGAGGACGGUACCCUGAGAAUAAGUCACGGCUAACUACGUGCCAGCAGCCGCGGUAACAC
rnacentral:rRNA from 1 species